UCCCCUGUAGCGACAACGGUAGUUGCAUCCGGCUGUUAACCGGAAUGAGUCUUGGUUCGAAUCCAGGCAGGGGAGC
rnacentral:tRNA from 1 species